rfam:Picea glauca, whole genome shotgun sequence.
UUAUGUAUAUGUCUGCAACAUUAAUGUAAGUUAUCCCAUUAGAAAUCCACAGUUAAGCAUGCUUGGCAUAGAGUAAUACUGAGAUGGGUGACCUACCGAGAAGUCCUAGUGUUUUACAUGCC